rnacentral:rRNA from 1 species
GGGCCGUGUAUGGGCGCAGCCUGAUCCAGCCAUGCCGCGUGGGUGAAGAAGGCCUUCGGGUUGUAAAGCCCUUUUGUUGGGAAAGAAAAGCAAUCGGUUAAUACCCGGUUGUUCUGACGGUACCCAAAGAAUAAGCACCGGCUAACUUCGUGCCAGCAGCCGCGGUAAUACGAAGGGUGCAAGCGUUACUCGGAAUUACUGGGCGUAAAGCGUGCGUAGGUGGUGAUUUAAGUCCGUUGUGAAAGCCCUGGGCUCAACCUGGGAAUUGCAGUGGAUACUGGGUCACUAGAAUGUGGUAGAGGGUAGCGGAAUUCCUGGUGUAGCAGUGAAAUGCGUAGAGAUCAGGAGGAACAUCCGUGGCGAAGGCGGCUACCUGGACCAACAUUGACACUGAGGCACGAAAGCGUGGGGAGCAAACAGGAUUAGAACCCGGGGGAAAAUCC